GUGCAGCAGGCGCGAAAACUCCGCAAUGCGCGAAAGCGUGACGGGGUCACCCCGAGUGCCGUCCGCUGAGGAUGGCUUUUGCCUGGUCUAACCAGCCGGGUGAAUAAGGGGAGGGCAAGUCUGGUGUCAGCCGCCGCGGUAAUACCAGCUCCCCGAGUGGUUGGGACGAUUAUUGGGUCUGAAGCGUCCGUAGCCGGCCGGAAAAGUUCCCCGUUAAAUCUGGCGAUCCAAUCGUUGGGCUGCGGGGAAUACUCUUCGGCUUGGGGGCGAGGGAGGUCGGCGGUAAUCCCGGGGUAGGGGCGAAAUCCGUUGAUCCCGGGAGGACCACCAGUGGCGAAGGCGGCUGGCUUGAACACGCCUGACGGUGAGGGACGAAAGCUGGGGGAGCGAAUCGGAUUAGAUACCCGCGUAGUCC
rnacentral:rRNA from 1 species